rnacentral:rRNA from 1 species
GCGGGAGGGCAGCAGUGGGGAAUAUUGCACAAUGGGGGAAACCCUGAUGCAGCGACGCCGCGUGAGUGAAGAAGUAUCUCGGUAUGUAAAGCUCUAUCAGCAGGGAAGAAAAUGACGGUACCUGACUAAGAAGCCCCGGCUAACUACGUGCCAGCAGCCGCGGUAAUACGUAGGGGGCAAGCGUUAUCCGGAUUUACUGGGUGUAAAGGGAGCGUAGACGGCGAUGCAAGUCUGAAGUGAAAGGCGGGGGCUCAACCCUUGGACUGCUUUGGAAACUGUAUUGCUAGAGUGCAGGAGAGGUAAGUGGAAUUCCUAGUGUAGCGGUGAAAUGCGUAGAUAUUAGGAGGAACACCAGUGGCGAUGGCGGCUUACUGGACUGUAACUGACGUUGAGGCUCGAAAGCGUGGGGAGCAAACAGGAUUAGAUACCCUGGUA